CAACACCACACCCUCCUGAUCACCAUAGCUUUAUGCAACAACAAGAAACAAAUUUAUUAGCUAACCUAACCACUAAUGACGCAAGAGACAAUUCUAAGGACUUUCAAAACAGCAAAGUAGGAGCAGCUGCUACCUCUAGGGAUGAGGGAUGCAAUUGUCCAAUUAUUGGUGAAAUUGUCAUUUCAUGCUAUUGGCUAUUUGAAAUUCCUCCUCUAAUUUCAGAAUAAAUCACUGAAAUUGACAUCGGCCAGUCUGAAUUUCAAGAAAUUACCUGCUGAAGACAAGAGGGAUCUCUUCUUCAGAUUUGCAGUCUGGGGAAGACACAGCCUCUACUGUACUUUAGAACCUGAGAUAUGGUGGUGGAGGGAGCCCUGGGUCGAGUG
rnacentral:lncRNA from 10 species